CUUGUACUCCCUCCGUCGCAAAAUUCUUGUCUUAAAUUUGCCUAAAUACUGAUGUAUCUAAUACUAAAAAGUGACUUGACAUAUCCGUAUUUAAACAAAACUAAAAUCUAAGACAGGAAUUUUGGGACGGGGGAGUAUUUG
rfam:Triticum aestivum genome assembly, contig: Triticum_aestivum_CS42_TGACv1_scaffold_514598_6BS